AAUGAACGCUGGCGGCAUGCCUUACACAUGCAAGUCGAACGGCAGCAUGACCUAGCUUGCUAGGUUGAUGGCGAGUGGCGAACGGGUGAGUAAUGCAUCGGAACGUGCCUUUUAGUGGGGGAUAACGUAGCGAAAGUUACGCUAAUACCGCAUAUUCUCUGAGGAGGAAAGCAGGGGACCUUCGGGCCUUGCGCUAGAAGAGCGGCCGAUGUCGGAUUAGCUAGUUGGUGAGGUAAAGGCUCACCAAGGCAACGAUCCGUAGCGGGUCUGAGAGGAUGAUCCGCCACACUGGGACUGAGACAAGGCCCAGACUCCUACGGGAGGCAGCAGUGGGGAAUUUUGGACAAUGGGCGGAAGCCUGAUCCAGCCAUGCCGCGUGAGUGAAGAAGGCCUUCGGGUUGUAAAGCUCCUUCGGCUGGGAAGAAAUCGCACCCUCUAAUACAGGGUGUGGAUGACGGUACCAGCAUAAGAAGCACCGGCUAACUACGUG
rnacentral:rRNA from 1 species